GGAGAGAUGGUCGAGCGGUCUAUGUCGCAGCAUUGGAAAUGCUGUUCAGAGGUAACUCUGACGGGGGUUCAAAUCCCCCUCUCUCCU
rnacentral:tRNA from 1 species